UGUUUUUCAACUGUGCUUUAUUGUAUAAAAUUUGUAUUGUUUGAUUGUAAACAUUUCUGAAUAAAAAAAAAUACACAAAGAGAUCUAUACAAAUAUUAAGAAUAUUUAUUAUGACAAGUUUUAUAUCAAUAUUAAACACAGGUUAAAGUCAUACCAAAUGUACAGCAACACAGGUUGAAUAUCACAAUUGCUUUGUAAUGAGCUUUAUUAAAGAAUGCAGCAUAAGGUCAUAUUUUGAAUAUAAUAAUGAUCAAUUUACAUCACUAAAUCUGUCUCACUCUGUAACAUAUACAUUUAUGCAGUAACAAUGAAUGAAAAAGAGUUAAAACAUUGCAACAAAUGAGUAGGUUUUUAGUCAUUGAACAAGGAGGAGGAACAAUAAAUUGCUAGCUGUGUGUGUGGCAUCUAGAUUAUUUUUUUUUGUUUAUAGAAAUCAAACAUAAAAUUAUUAUUUUUUUAAAAAUAAAAUUGCUUUUGUACAAAACAUCUUUAAUGCAAGAUUACUCCUCUCUGGUGCAAUCUCUUUUGUAGAUGUGGUGAGAGGUUAUCUUGGAGAAGGUUUGUAGAUGUGAUGAGAGAGGGUAUCUUGGAGAAGGUUUGUAGAUGUGAUGAGAGAGGGUAUCUUGGAGAAGGUUUGUAGAUG